rnacentral:rRNA from 1 species
AGUUUGAUCAUGGCUCAGAACGAACGCUGGCGGCGUGGAUAAGACAUGCAAGUCGAACGGGAUUCACGGGUAGUAAUACUUUGUGGAUUUAGUGGCGAACGGGUGCGUAACACGUGAGCAACCUGCCCGGAAGUGGGGGAUAGCUCGCCGAAAGGCGAAUUAAUACCGCAUGCGGCUAGAAGGGACAUCCCUUCAAUGCCAAAGCAGCAAUGCGCUUCUGGAUGGGCUCGCGGCCUAUCAGCUUGUUGGUGAGGUAACGGCUCACCAAGGCUAUGACGGGUAGCUGGUCUGAGAGGACGACCAGCCACACUGGAACUGAGAUACGGUCCAGACACCUACGGGUGGCAGCAGUCGAGAAUUUUUCGCAAUGGGGGAAACCCUGACGGAGCGACGCCGCGUGGAGGAUGAAGGUCUUUUGAUCGUAAACUCCUGUCAUGCGAGAACAAGAAAGUGAUAGUAUCGCAAGAGGAAGAGGCGGCUAACUCUGUGCCAGCAGCCGCGGUAAUACAGAGGCCUCAAGCGUUGUUCGGAUUCAUUGGGCGUAAAGGGUGCGUAGGCGGUGUCGCAAGUCGAAUGUGAAAUCUCGGGGCUCAACCCCGAAACUGCAUUCGAUACUGCGGUACUCGAGGA